UACGGGGGGUGCAAGCGUUGUCCGGAAUCAUUGGGCGUAAAGCGUUCGUAGGCGGUAUGUCAAGUCUGAUGUUAAAGCCCGGGGCUCAACUCCGGUUCGGCAUUGGAUACUGGCAAACUAGAAUGUGGUAGAGGUAAAGGGAAUUCCUGGUGUAGCGGUGAAAUGCGUAGAUAUCAGGAGGAACAUCGGUGGCGAAAGCGCUUUACUGGACCAUUAUUGACGCUGAGGAACGAAAGCCAGGGGAGCAAACAGG
rnacentral:rRNA from 1 species